CCUACGGGGCGCAGCAGUGGGGGAUAUUGCACAAUGGGGGGAACCCUGAUGCAGCGACGCCGCGUGGGUGAAGGAGCGUUUCGGCGCGUAAAGCCCUAUCGGCAGGGAAGAAGAUGACGGUACCUGACCAAGAAGCCCCGGCUAACUACGUGCCAGCAGCCGCGGUAAUACGUAGGGGGCAAGCGUUAUCCGGAUUUACUGGGUGUAAAGGGAGCGUAGACGGCAUUACAAGUCCGGAGUGAAAGCCCACGGCCCAACCGGGGGACUGCUCUGGAAACUGUAGAGCUGGAGUGCGGG
rnacentral:rRNA from 1 species